AUGGUUAAGUUAGAAAGGGCGCACGGUGAAUGCCUUGGCACUAGGAGCCGAUGAAGGACGGGACUAACACCGAUAUGCUUCGGGGAGCUGUAAGUGAGCUUUGAUCCGGAGAUUUCCGAAUGGGGAAACCCACUGUUCGUAAUGGAACAGUAUCUUUAUCUGAAUACAUAGGAUAUUGAAGGCAGACCCGGGGAACUGAAACAUCUAAGUACCCGGAGGAAGAGAAAGCAAAUGCGAUUUCCUGAGUAGCGGCGAGCGAAACGGAAUUAGCCCAAACCAAGAGGCUUGCCUCUUGGGGUUGUAGGACACUCUAUACGGAGUUACAAAGGAACGAAGUAAAUGAAGCGACCUGGAAAGGUCCGUCGAAGAAGGUAACAACCCUGUAGUUGAAACUUCGUUCCCUCUUGAGUGGAUCCUGAGUACGGCGGAACACGUGAAAUUCCGUCGGAAGCUGGGAGGACCAUCUCCCAAGGCUAAAUACUACCUAGUGACCGAUAGUGAACCAGUACCGUGAGGGAAAGGUGAAAAGCACCCCGGAAGGGGAGUGAAAGAGAUCCUGAAACCGUGUGCCUACAAGUAGUCAGAGCCCGUUAAUGGGUGAUGGCGUGCCUUUGUAGAAUGAACCGGCGAGUUACGAUCCCAUGCAAGGUUAAGCUGAUAAGGCGGAGCCGUAGCGAAAGCGAGUCUGAAUAGGGCGUUUAGUAUGUGGUUGUAGACCCGAAACCAGGUGAUCUACCCAUGUCCAGGGUGAAGUUCAGGUAACACUGAAUGGAGGCCCGAACCCACGCACGUUGAAAAGUGCGGGGAUGAGGUGUGGGUAGCGGAGAAAUUCCAAUCGAACCUGGAGAUAGCUGGUUCUCUCCGAAAUAGCUUUAGGGCUAGCCUCAUGUUGUGAGAGUCUUGGAGGUAGAGCACUGAUUGGACUAGGGGCCCCCAACGGGUUACCGAAUUCAGUCAAACUCCGAAUGCCAAAGACUUAUCCAUGGGAGUCAGACUGCGAGUGAUAAGAUCCGUAGUCAAAAGGGAAACAGCCCAGACCACCAGCUAAGGUCCCCAAGUAUACGUUAAGUGGAAAAGGAUGUGGAGUUGCUUAGACAACCAGGAUGUUGGCUUAGAAGCAGCCACCAUUUAAAGAGUGCGUAAUAGCUCACUGGUCGAGUGACUCUGCGCCGAAAAUGUACCGGGGCUAAACGUAUCACCGCAGCUGUGGAUUGACAUCUUUGCUGUCAGUGGUAGGCGCGCGUUCUAAGUUCAGUGAAGUCAGACCGUAAGGACUGGUGGAGUGCUUAGAAGUGAGAAUGCCGGUAUGAGUAGCGAAAGACAAGUGAGAAUCUUGUCCACCGAAUGCCUAAGGUUUCCUGAGGAAGGCUCGUCCGCUCAGGGUUAGUCGGGACCUAAGCCGAGGCUGAAAAGCGUAGGCGAUGGCCAACAGGUUGAUAUUCCUGUACCACCUCCCCGCCGUUUGAGUAAUGGGGGACGCAGUAGGAUAGGGUAAGCGCGCUGCUGGAUAUGCGCGUUCAAGCAGUUAGGCUGAUGAGUAGGCAAAUCCGCUCAUCAUGAAGGCUGAGCUGUGAUGACGAGGGAAUUAUAGUACCGAAGUUCCUGAUUCCACACUGCCAAGAAAAGCCUCUAGCGAGGCGGGAGGUGCCCGUACCGCAAACCGACACAGGUAGGCGAGGAGAGAAUCCUAAGGUGAUCGAGAGAACUCUCGUUAAGGAACUCGGCAAAAUGACCCCGUAACUUCGGGAGAAGGGGUGCUCUGGUAGGGUGUAUAGCCCGAGAGAGCCGCAGUGAAUAGGCCCAGGCGACUGUUUAGCAAAAACACAGGUCUCUGCGAAGCCGCAAGGCGAAGUAUAGGGGCUGACGCCUGCCCGGUGCUGGAAGGUUAAGAGGAGGGGUUAUCCUUUGGGAGAAGCUCUGAAUCGAAGCCCCAGUAAACGGCGGCCGUAACUAUAACUAUCCUAAGGUAGCGAAAUUCCUUGUCGGGUAAGUUCCGACCCGCACGAAAGGCGUAACGAUCUGGGCACUGUCUCAACGAGAGACUCGGUGAAAUUAUAGUACCUGUGAAGAUGCAGGUUACCCGCGACAGGACGGAAAGACCCCGUGGAGCUUUACUGUAGCCUGAUAUUGAAUUUUGGUACAGCUUGUACAGGAUAGGUAGGAGCCUGAGAAGCCGGAGCGCUAGCUUCGGUGGAGGCGUCGGUGGGAUACUACCCUGGCUGUAUUGAAAUUCUAACCCGCGGCCCUGAUCGGGCCGGGAGACAGUGUCAGGUGGGCAGUUUGACUGGGGCGGUCGCCUCCUAAAAUGUAACGGAGGCGCCCAAAGGUUCCCUCAGAAUGGUUGGAAAUCAUUCGUAGAGUGUAAAGGCACAAGGGAGCUUGACUGCGAGACCUACAAGUCGAGCAGGGACGAAAGUCGGGCUUAGUGAUCCGGUGGUUCCGCAUGGAAGGGCCAUCGCUCAACGGAUAAAAGCUACCCCGGGGAUAACAGGCUUAUCUCCCCCAAGAGUCCACAUCGACGGGGAGGUUUGGCACCUCGAUGUCGGCUCAUCGCAUCCUGGGGCUGUAGUCGGUCCCAAGGGUUGGGCUGUUCGCCCAUUAAAGCGGUACGCGAGCUGGGUUCAGAACGUCGUGAGACAGUUCAUUCCUAUCCGUCGUGGGCGUAGGAAAUUUGAGAGGAGCUGUCCUUAGUACGAGAGUGACCGGGAUGGACACACCGCUGGUGUACCAGUUGUCUUGCCAAAGGCAUCGCUGGGUAGCUAUGUGUGGACGGGAUAAGUGCUGAAAGCAUCUAAGCAUGAAGCCCCCCUCAAGAUGAGAUUUCCCAUAGCGCAAGCUAGUAAGAUCCCUGAAAGAUGAUCAGGUUGAUAGGUCAGAGGUGGAAGCGUGGCGACAUGUGUAGCUGACUGAUACUAAUCGAUCGAGGACUUAACCAAA
rnacentral:rRNA from 1 species